CCUGCUGAUGUGAUAAGACAUCAUGUAUCUAAAAAACUAUUAUUGGUCUAUCGAAAUCGAAAGAUAUACUAUCCCUUAUCGAUCACCAUUAUCUUUGCCAUGUCCUAGUUAAAAACACAAUAAUAGUAUCCUUUUUUAAUAACCUUAGGGAACGUUCAACACUGUUCACUUGAGACCAGGCGGUGAAAUCAAACGUAAAGAUGGCGGUAUAUUUCAUUGGUGUCGACGUUGGGACAGCAAGUGUGAGAGCUGGAAUUUUUGAUCAAACCGGCCGAUUGCUGCAAAAUGCGACCCACGAGAUAAAGAUUUGGAAUCCAAAAGGAACGAAAGGCGAUUUUUAUCAACAGUCAUCUGAUGAUAUUUGGGAAUCUUGCUGCAAAGUCAUUAAAGAAGUGGUUGAGGGCAUUGAUGCAGAUUCUGUUGCAGGAAUUGGGUUUGAUGCUACAUGUUCGCUGGUGGCUCUUGACAAUGAAGAUAAGCCAAUAACGGUUAGCCCAACAGGGGAACACGAGCAAAAUGUUAUCAUGUGGAUGGACCACAGAGCAGUCCAGGAGACUGAAGUCAUCAAUGCUUUGAAUCAUUCUGCCUUUCAAUAUGUCGGAGGAAAAGUUUCCAUUGAGAUGCAGCUUCCAAAACUUCUUUGGCUUAAAAGAAAUCUCUGUGAUACUUGGUAUCAGACUAAGAGAUUCAUGGACCUGCCAGACUUUCUGACAUGGAAGGCCACUAAUAGUGAUGCUAGAUCCCUUUGCAGUGUGGUAUGCAAAUGGAACUACAUAGUUGAUGAAUCUGGAUGUCACGGUUGGCCCAGUGACUUGUUUGAGCUAGUUGGACUACAAGAACUUUUGGAAAACAAUGCAAGUCUCAUUGGAAGCAACAUCAAAUUCCCUGGCUCUCCACAAGGCUCAGGUCUGACAUUUUCUGUUGCCCAUGAGUUGGGAUUAAAACCAGGCACUCCGGUCGGCACUUCCCUGAUUGAUGCAUAUGCAGGAGCCCUUGGAUUAUUUGCUUGUCAUGCCGAUGCUCCAGUGGAUCAGAGACUAGCACUCAUUUGCGGUACUUCAACGUGCCAUAUGCUGAGCGUAUCUCAACCGACAUUUGUCAAUGGAGUGUGGGGUCCAUACGCCGAUGUCUUACUGCCAGGAAUGUGGUUGUUGGAAGGCGGGCAAAGCGCUACUGGGAAAUUAUUGGACCAUAUCGUCGAGACGCAUCCGUGUUAUACGUCGUUAAAAGAGCGAUUGCCGUCAACGAUUUCCAUUGCCGAAGAACUUUCCCGAAUCCUCCAUACCAUGUCACGCCCGACUGGACGACCCGUUUCCAAUUUGACUAAAGAUGUCCAUAUGUGGCCGGAUUUUCAUGGCAAUCGCUCUCCUUUAGCGGACCCUAAUGUUAAAGGCAUGAUUUGCGGUAUGACUUUGGACGCGUCAGAAGAGAACCUAGCGUUGCAUUACCUGGCUACCAUUCAGGCUUUAUGCUAUGGGACUCGUCAUAUAAUCGAAUCUAUGAGAGAACGCGACGUGGAAAUUGGGUGUUUGUUGCUUUGCGGUGGAUUGACCAAAAUCGACUUGUUUGCUGUCACUAUGGCCGACGCCGUUGGUCUGCCCGUUGUUCUCCCCAACAAGAAAGAGUCUGUUCUUCUCGGUUCAGCGAUGCUGGGAGCCUGCGCUUCAACGCAUUUCUCCUCUCUCAACGAAGCAAUGAUCAAAAUGGGUGGUCAUGGAAAAACAAUUCAACCGAACCAACAAGACAGAAAGUUCCACGAUCGCAAGUACAGAGUGUUUAUGAAAAUGCUGCAGGACCAAAAAGAUUAUGAAAAGAUCAUGAACUCCAACUAAAUUGUUAACCAAUCGUUUUUGUAUCCCAUCAUCAGGAUAUUGGGCUUCACUUUACCAACACCAGAAAGGCCCAGCAUGGCCGCCACGCCCGUGUGGAGAUUUGAAUUAUCCGCAACGGAACAGAAUCCUUUGAUGUUGGUGAAUCGCAGAUAUCGAUAAGCUUUUUGUUGCAAUUUCGACCGCAUUUCAAAUGUUAAUCGUUCCUGUUUUGAUCAAUUGAAUGAGUAUAGACAUUGAAUAAGUGGUUUCAAAAUGUCCAUACCUCGACGAUGUUUCCGCAGACCAUCAGGGAAUUAUUUUUACAAAUGAGAUAGGCAAAGUCUACCAGAGCUGGACGAGUGUUGGGGAGUCCCGUUAGAACCAAAAUCUGCGGCCUAUAAUUCUUGACGUGUUCCUCGAUGUGAACGAGUUGUUGGAUACUCGUCAGAGCGGCCCGAUACGUUUGUGCUUGAGUCGAUGAUCCCCAGUUAACCUCUUUGAGAAAUCGAAAUUAACUCCAUGUCUUUAUUCUUUUUAAAAAUUGCAGUGCCUUACCUGGUUUACGAUAGAGGACCACCAUGUAGAAAAACGAGACAAUGCCAAUUGUGAUCAUGGCUAUAGGAAGACUGAUGAGGAUCAUGGAGGCGACGGACAAUAGGCCCGUCAACAGACUCAGCCAAGUGUUGUAAUACUAAAGAUCACCGGAAACGUUAGCACCGGCCAGGAUACCAAUACUAGCUGGAAAGUAAACGGAAAACACGGAAAUAAAAUUCUGCAUUUGUCCUCCGGUGAUGGUGUAAGCUGGAUCCCAAUUCUCGAUACCGCUGUAGCCAAUGAAUCCUCUUGCUUCUUCCAACUCGGACGAUGGUCCCAUAAUACUUCCGGCUAAGAAAUUAGCUAAUGAAGCCAACAUGAUGACAAACAUGAUGUCUUUCAUCUGUUUUCAAGACCACAGAUUGCUGUGAUAAAUAUCAUCGUGACGGUUCCGAUGAUGCGGAUGUCAUUAUCUGCUCCGUCGAUGAUAAUUACUCCGCCGUAUUCCAACAUCAUGUCCUGCACGGCUUGAGCGAAUCCGACGACAUUAAGGGAGCAAUCCAUCGCGUUGGCGAUUGCGAAGAUGAUUCCGAUGGAUCCGCCAAAUUCCGGACCCAAAACCCUUGACCUAUUUUCCUCAAAAUAAUUUGUUUUUUCUAGAAUUCUUUUUAUGGCUUGAGUUUGGAAACUUACAUGACGAAAUAAGUGCCACCUGUAACAGACAUGGACAAGGCCGUCACCAAAGUGAUGAACGUUGAAAUGGCAAUGAUGACCAACGUUUCGCCUUUACGGAGAGUCGCAAGAAGAGCAUAACACCCCAGAUGCUCAUCAUGUUGCGGAUUAAAACGCCUUCGAUCCAUCCAAAUUUGACAGGUUCCACAACAGGUUCUUUUUCCAUUUCAUUUUGACUUUCAUCAAUUGUCGUCUGCCAAGAAUGUAUUUAAUAUUAAAGUUGAUUUAGUAGCAGAUGAUGACCAGUUGUUGUACCUCAUUGGUAUUUUGUAGUUGUACCUCCUCGUUUGCAGGAUUGCAUAAUUCGUGCAUUGUGGGCCGCCUGACGGUCGUUUGAACCUGUUGCGUUGGUUGUGUUCUGUAAUGUUCUAUACUGGGGAUGACAUCACGGCUCAUUUUUCGAUUCCUGUCAUGCGAGGAAACAGUCGCUACACUUCCCUUUCGAUUGGUUAAACCUGUGAUUGAAUUGUCGUUUCCAAUUUGGGCUGAUCCUUGCGGAAUGUUUUCCAUUUCUAUUCCGGUUGGGACGUAGGUCGACACUUUAAAUCGGCUUCCAUCCGCAAAUUCUCUUGCUUUUGUUACCCUCAUUUCCUAAUAGCAGAAUAAGUAAUGAACUCAAAACUCUAAUUUGUUCAGUUGCUGUCGGCUAAACACCUGCUGUUGUUGACUUUCAGCCGCUGGAUUAUGCAAUUCGUGCAAGGUAGGAAGAAUUUCCAUUUGGCCUUGAUAACCUGUUCGGUAUGAACAACUGCUGGCGUCGACUUCAUUCUUCAUCUUUCCAACUUGUGUGUCAGAAAUAACAUCGAUGGGUAUGUUAUUCACCUUUUCUUCCACCACACAAUUUUCUUCAUUUUCGGUUGACUGUAUCAGAUUAUGAUCAAUGGAUUCAGGUUGUCUAAACUUUAGUUUUGAGUUUUUACUUACGUCUUCGAAUGCCUUGUUAUCCAUUUCUUUAUUUUUUUUUAAUUUGAAAUUGUUGCUGGCGAUUCCUCUCUAAAAAUGAUCUAACAUUUCUUUAGAAAACCCAGAAUUUUUGUAACUAGCGGCUAUAUGUAGCAACGCAACUUUUAAAUUAAAACUAGACCAGACGACCCUAAUAAUGUAUUCAAAUAAAACCGGUUGAAAUUAAGA